GCCCGGGUGGCUCAGUCGGUUGAGCGUCCGACUUCAGCUCAGGUCACGAUCUCGCGGUCCGUGAGUGCGAGCCCCACGUCGGGCU
rnacentral:tRNA from 1 species